CUCCAGAGCCAGUUUUUUUAACAAGUGAUUAAGGACACACCUCUGACUCAGAAUAACAUCAGCCCAUGAGAGGCAGCCUUCCCACAGGUUUCUGAGAAGACACAGCAACCACAUCUGCCAUCCCAAGAGGACUGCAGCCACUACAAUUUGGAUUGCUACCAGCACGCUGGCCAGAGGUUGUCAGGUUGUAUUCUGCCUUUGUCAGUGGUCUUCCUUUUGUAUCAUUUCAUGUAUUUUUGUCUUUUUCCCUUUUUCCAAUAAAUUGUAUUUCUG